UCCGGCUUAUCACCGGCGGUUUCUUUAGAGUGCCCAACUAAAUGGUAGCAACUAAAGACGAGGGUUGCGCUCGUUGCGGGACUUAACCCAACAUCUCACGACACGAGCUGACGACAGCCAUGCAGCACCUGUGUUCAGGUUCCCUUUCGGGCACCCCCAGAUCUCUCCAGGGUUCCUGACAUGUCAAGGGUAGGUAAGGUUUUUCGCGUUGCAUCGAAUUAAUCCACAUCAUCCACCGCUUGUGCGGGUCCCCGCCAAUUCCUUUGAGUUUUAAUCUUGCGACCGUACUCCCCAGGCGGUCUACUUCACGCGUUAGCUGCGUUACCAAGUUAAUUAAAACCCGACAACUAGUAGACAUCGUUUAGGGCGUGGACUAC
rnacentral:misc_RNA from 1 species